GCAAAGAGUAGGACACGACUGAGUGACUGAACUGAUAUAAUAAUAUAAUAAUUUCUAUUAGGAGCAAUGAUAUGCAGGUUUUCCUUUUAGAUAAAACCACAGGCUCUGAGUCUAUAGGGUGUCAAAUCCAUCUUUAUCUGUCUAUGAGUUCCUAGAGAAAGCUGUUCCUAUAAAUCACUUGAGAUUCGACUCUGAAAUGGUAGGUCUUAUCUGGAGUUUUCCUCUGGGAAAUGGAGAGCACCACGUUCCCUCCCCCCACAGGGCAUUGUGGCUGGGUGGGCAGCGUCCUUCACGGGUCAGAUGGGACUGGCUGCUCGGACGCUCUGCUCGGGCUCACGGUGGCUCACGUGGCCAGAGCAGAUGCCAAGUCUCCACCAAGCUGGUGUCAGGGCAAGCCUUGCCUCAGUUAGCGCGCGGAGGCUGGAGAUCCGUGGCACUUCCAGACGAGACUUUUAAGGUCUGGUGUGCAGGUUCUCCAAACUGGGGGGAGGCGGUCAGCUCCCUCCCUGAGUGGGGGUGCUGUGGGGCAGGCCUGGGACGGACACGGGUCUGGGAAAAACAAGAGACACAGCAGAAUCUUGCCUACCCUGCGUGAUCCGGCUGGUUGACCAUAGUGACAGGUUUCGAAAACUUGAAAGGCAAGCAAAGAUUUCCCUAAAGAGAAGCGGUAUGAACUUUUACGUUCUUAGAACCGUUCUUCAAGGGGCGUGUUUCGAUGGCGCUAAAAACAGGGCCGUUUCAGUCCUCUUGCCUUUUGAAGAGAGUGGGCUCCACUUCUCAGAGCGUGUGGGAGGCUGCCCUCUCACUUCCGGGCCUCACGUCUGGGUGCCGACCUCUGCACCAGCAGUGUGCUGGAAACACUUCGCAUGGGUCCUGCGCUGAGAUCCGCACACACCUGGGAGGAGGAAGAGUCACAAAGGAGAACAGACAGGAGCCCCACGGUUACCCAGCCAGGAAGCGAUGGAACGAGAUCGGACCCCAGGACUCCUGUAUGCGCUUAGUAAACGGAGUCCUCGCAGCAUAAAGCCCUAACUCCAGCCCCACACUGUGUCUGGAAGAUGCACUGCCCAGAGCUGCUGGCUUCACGGCGGCAACCCCAGAGACCUCCGUUACCACCCACACACGCUGCUUGGGGACACUGAGCCCAGGAAACAGAGGUAAACUUAAUUAACAAGAGCCCUCCACCUCUGAAUCAUCUUACCAAGUGGGUUUUUACCUCAAACAAGUUUGGCUGAAUAAAGGUCGAUGGACAAGGACACCUACACCGUGACUGCUGUUACAUAACUGAACACACGCUCGGCGUGUAAAUAAUUUCUAAAACCACAGAGGCCAAACCACAGUGGAAAAUUCAGCUACUCUGGAGAGAAAUAGCAAAAUUAUCUUCUGCAAAGUUUCCUAUUCAGUAACCUCAGAACUGGAGCAGGGAAAAUGUGCUGGAAGCCAGCAGCUUAGGAGACUAAUGUGUCCACCCCACAGCAGUCGAGGACAUUUCUUCCCAGGAAGCUUCCGUGGCCAGUUGAUCCAGAAACGUCAGUCACCAAUAGAAAAGAGAACUCUGAGUGGUGGUCACGGCCGACACGUGAACCCCAGCUGACCAUCCAUCCGCUUCCGAGGAGAGGCCAGAGGCCAGCGGCACAGUGAGCACAGCUCUUCCACCGUGCAGUCACCGCCCCCCGACGUCCAGCCCUCCCAGCCCUCGCCCUCCCUGCCCUGCCCCCUCCCUCUCCUCUUCACACCUUCUCCUGACCCGCUUCUCUUUCCACUUUCUCCCUCGUCUCUCCCCUGCUCCCCCUUACUUGACGAUAAUGAAUCAACUGGAUAUGUAUUUCUCUGUUCUUAGAAAGUUGGCCAUUUUACAGACUUUUAAAUUUUGCAAAAUAAUGUUUGUAAAUAAGCAGAAAUAAUGUUUGCUUUAACACUCUAUUUCCAAGUUUUCUGCAUCCUCCAUUUGCUCAGAAAAAAAAAUUUUUUUACACGUUCUCUGCUGUUUCUGAGGAGAU